AUGAAGAAAAAUUGACAUUCAAAGAAAAGACUCAAGAGAAGCACAAAAAAGUAUUCCCUUUUUGCCUGUGCAAAUAAAACUACAUCCUCUGAGUUCCAAAUGUGGGAUUCUCAGAACACAUCCUCCUGGAAGAGAAGGCUAUCAUGAG
rnacentral:lncRNA from 1 species